rnacentral:rRNA from 1 species
AGUACGGUCGCAAGACUGAAACUCAAAGAAAUUGACGGGGGCGCGCACAAGCGGUGGAGCAUGUGGUUUAAUUAGAAGCAACGCGAAGAACAUUACCAGGUCUCGACAUCAUGUGACAACCGUAGAGAUAGGGCUUCCCCUUCGGGGGCAGAGUGACAACACGUGCAUGGCAGUGGUCAGGUCGUGUCGUGAGAUGUGGGGUUAAGUCCCGCAACGAGCGCAACCCAAGCUUUUACUUUCCAGCAUUCAGUUGGGCACUCUAAGGUGACUGCCGGUGACAAACCGGAGGAAGGUGGGGAUGACGUCAAAUCAUCAUGCCCCUUAUGACCUGGGCUACACACGUGAUACAAUGGUCAGAACAAAGGGCAGCGAAGCCGCGAGGGUAAGCCAAUCUCACAAAUCUGUUCUCAGUUCGGAUCGCAGUCUGCAACUCGACUGCGUGAAGUUGGAAUCGCUAGUAAUCGCGGAUCAGCAUGCCGCGGUGAAUACGUUCCCGGGCCUUGUACACACCGCCCGUCACACCACGAGAGUUUGUAACACCAGAAGUCGGUGAGGUAACCGUAAGAGCCU